UUUUUCCAAACUAAAAAGGGACCCCGGGGCGUGACAUGUGAAUUUAUGUUUAAAUAUUGAAUGGAAAAAUGUGAAUCUGUGGUGAAUGGUGUAUGAAUAUAUAACUGUGGUUAUUUGUAUGUUCAUCUGGUUGUGGUUGUAUCAUGUUUGAACUCUUGUACUUGGGCGACGCCGUGCAAAUACAGGGGAGACUCUGUCCGUGUGAACAGUGGAUCUCCUGUAUUUGUGGCGGAUCUGGUAUACCCUGGGGUCAGGUUUUUAAAAAAAAAAUUUCAGACGCUUUUCCGCUAUACUUUAAACUAAAAAGGGACCCCGGGGCGUGACAAUUAUAUUGAUUCUUACAUUUUAUUAUUAUAUUAUCUCAGAUGUCAUUGGAAAGCUUUCUCGAAUUAGUAGAAUGGAAGAAUCGAAUUAGUAGAAUGGACGAAAACUGCAAGGACAGUAAAAAAACAAAAAAGAUUACGAUACUACUUGAGGAUGACAUGUGUUUAUAAUUAUAGAUAUAUCUUUUGAAUGUUUAUACAUUUUUUUUCAGUUAGCUACUGAUCUAUACUAAUAAAAACGUUAGUUUUGAAUUUUUUCCUCUUUCCCAAAAUACCGAUCCCUAUUAAUAUAAUAUCUUCCGCAUAUAUAAUAUUUAAUCAUAUUUUUUUAAAACAAAAUAUAUAAAAGUUAUCUCAAAUUUACCUACUAAUAUUUAAAAUAUUGGAUAUUUUAUUUAAAACAUUAUAAAAUAUAUUAACAUAUAUAAUAUUUAAUCAUAUUUUUUAAAAGCAGAAUAUAUAAAAGUUAUCUCAAAUUUAAAAUAUUGGAUAUUUUAUUUAAAUUAUUAUAAAAUAUAUUAAUUCUUAGUCAAUAAAUCUAAUUGACUGACGAAUACAAAAUAUCUGUCACUUUUUUUAUCUAAAUUGCCCUCAAAUAGUACGUAUCAAAUUUUACUUUUUAUAUGCAUGUCAUAUCUUCUAAUAACCGUCGCCCACAUAAUAUCAUAUUUUAUCACAAAUAAUAUUCGCAUAUCUUAAUUUUUUUUUUCCCACACAUAAUAUCAUCACCUAUAUAAUAUCCAAUCACAUAAUACCUUCCGCAUAUAUAAUAUUAAAUCAUAUUUUUUUAAAGCAAAAUAUAUAAAAGUUAUCUCAAAUUUACCUACUAAUAUUUAAAAUUUUGGAUAUUUUAUUUAAAUUAUUAUAAAAAAUAUUAACAUAUAUAAUAUUUAAUCAUAUUUUUUUAAAGGUAAAUAUAUAAAAGUUAUCUCAAAUUUACCUACUAAUAUUUAAAAUUUUGGAUAUUUUAUUUAAAUUAUUAUAAAAAAUAUUAACAUAUAUAAUAUUUAAUCAUAUUUUUGUAAAGGUGAAUAUAUAAAAGCUAUCUCAAAUUUACCUACUAAUAUUUAAAAUAUUAAAUAUUUUUUAAAAUUAUUAUAAAAUAUAUUGAUUCUUAGUUAUUAGAUCUAAUCUAAUGAUUGACAAAUACAAAAUAUUUGUCACUUUUUUUAUCUAAAUUGCCCUCACAUAUAAAUAUAAAAAUUAUCUAUCUGUCACGCCCCGGGGUCCCUUUUUAGUUUAAAUUAUAGCGGAAAAGCGUCUGAAAUUUUUUUUUUGAAAACCUGACCCUAGAGUAUGCCAGAUCCACCACAAAUACAGGAGAUCCACUGUUCACACGGACAGAGUCUCCCCUGUAUUUGCAUGGCGUCGCACAAGUACAGAGUUCAAACAUGAUACAACCAUAACCAGAUGAGCAUACAAAUAACCAACAGUUAUACAUUCCUAUACCAUUCACCACAGUUUCAUAUUUAUACAUUCAAUAUUUAAAAAUAAAUCCACAUCUAUCAGUUAAAAUAUUUCCAACCACAGAAACAGAUUUUGAAAUACUAAGAUACAGAAUCCACAGAAAACCUUUUGAAAACUGUUCACUACACAGGAACUUUUAUCUUUUAAAAACGCUACCACGAGGGGUAGAAAUCCAUUCAACAUUUGAAAUCCACAAAUCCCCCUUUUUUUUAUUACAUCAUAAAGCCAAUGAAAAUAUAAUGUUCAACUGAAAUAUCAAAAACUAAACCAUAACUAGAUCUAAGUUAUUUAUUUGGAGAACUGAGAUAGAAUUUAACCAAAAUGUCGGGACGGAGGCACUAUCGAUAGCUAGACCCGCUCCUCACGACUCGUCCCGCUCGGACCUGCUAUGUCACCUGUAAUGGGGGCGGGGGGUGAGAACAUGUAAACAUGUCUCCCCUCCCAGUGGGUACCGCAAGCCGAAGAGGGCGAGGGGUACUCACUAGUCACGGAGAUAAACAAUAAUAGAGAUAAUGGUAGUACAGUAGCUAAGAUAAACAAGUAAGGAGAUGUAUAUGUAUAAACCACUACAGCUACUGUAUGUAUGCUUCAACAGAACGAUCAGUCCAAUAGUACCCAAUCUGAAACCAAUGCUCUCUUGGUCCACACCGGAACCUCAAGCCAGUGCCCUGGAGGUUCACACUGGAGACCUCCUGACAGUACCACUGCCACUCUACCAAGCAUAUAACCCCUCUAGGGCUCACGGGUUGGCACCUGCAACCACUUUUCCGGAAAAGAACAUCCUCUUGCGGUGGAUCAGACCGUUGGUGUUCGUGAAAUGCGACGAGCCGGGCGAUCAAUGCAGAUAUGCUCAAUGAUCAACCGUCGACAACCAGCCGACAAUCCUGCCCCCCUGGGACUAUCGACCGUAUGGGUCAUCAUGAAAUCAAAUCGACCAACUAGGUCACAAGUAUACGAUCAAAUAGGAGAACCGACCAACCGGGUCACAUAUGUAAAUACAAGAACCGACCAACCAGGUCGCAGAUGUCAUAACCAGAUAAAGUCUACUCUACUCCUACACAAUGAUACUACAUAUGGAAACAACUGAGUAGAGUAAAUAUGGAAAUAGCAUGGGUGCAAGGCUCAACAUGUAUAAGGUAAGCAAUAUAAACAACAAGGGUAAAGGAAACGUCACCGAGCGUGCACCACUGUACCGACGUCGGAUCGAAGUACCCACCUGUACGUGUCUGACGAAAAUCUCUCGACUGUGAAGACGGUGCAACCGAACCUACGAAAGGUCCACCGGGUUAGAACCUAACCCACUACUAAGAAACCCUCAAAGCAUAACCCCACAAAUAAACCCACGGGAAUCGGUUUCCCAAAAUCGAUUACCGAACACACCGGAAGUCCCGAACCACGCACCGAAAAUCAACGAUUGGUUUCCGGAAAGGCUUGGGGCCUUGGACGAUCAGUCCAGAGGUUAUCCUCAGCCUACACUUGCUACCAACAGCAGCCACAUCGAAGCAAAAAGCAUAAAAGCCCUUACCGCUACAUAGAAUCACAUCAUUUUAUGUGAUUUCUAGGCUUUUCUGGACCAUGCACGCAAACCAGAGAUUGAUUAAUCAGACCGUCGCACUCGUUGAUAGGUUUCAGCGUGCCGGAGGCCAUGCUCACCUUUCAGAGCACUUCCGGCCACUGCGGUGAGCGCAAGAACGACACGAAGAUCUGUGAAAUAGUGCGCACAGCGCUAAGAUCGUGACUAACUCGCUAACCAGGGCAUCUUUGCCGCUGUCCGAGAUGAGCACGAUGUUCAGCACGAACUCUAGAUCAUCGUGCUCACUUCCCGGAGUGUCGGGGAGUCAUCGGAUCACCAGAAGGUGGCCGGAAAGCUAAAACUACUGUGCUGGAAUAUAAAAACAGCCUUACCAGACCCGAGGAGAGCUAGGGUUGGUCGCCGGCGGCCGGGAGGCGGGCACUCCGGCCGGGGAUGGGAGCGGCCGGUCGGUGGGGUCCGGGGAACCAGCUGGCCGAGGUCUGGGUGCCGCCGGUGGCGCGGCGGAGGAGAUCGACUCCUCAAGGCUGCUCUCGGGAUCAAGCUUCCCGGCGGCGCGGCGGCGGCCGGAGGAGGUCGGGGCGGCUACGGUCUGGCGGCGGAGGCCGAGGGGAAGGUGGUGCACCCCCAGUAGGCGGCGGCGGUGCUUGGAAACCGAGCGGACUCGGCCUCAGCCCGCACGGCUCUAGGCGGCUGCAGGAUGGAGGAGCGGUGGCCGGCGGCGCGCGGGGACGUCGGGGGCCGGCGCCGGAGAUGGGCCUCGGCCAAAGGAUGAUGGAGCUCGGGCCCUGAUGCUCCCCAGGGCCCAAAAACCAAGGAUGUGGCAAGUCGGAGCUAGAGGGAAACCGAGAGGAAGCCGGGGUGACUUUUCCGGCGGCCGGAGCAGCUCACCGGCGGCCGGGGCGCGACCACUGGUUGGGCAGGGUGGAGGUGGGGCGGCUAAGGCAGCUAGGGAUGAUAAUUAGGGUUAGGGUUCCCUGGUUGAACCCUAGAACCCUAUUUGUUCUAGGUGUACAAUUACGGAAAACCCCUUCUAGUCCAGUAAUUCUUACCAAGCCCCCUGCCUGCAUGUGGAUUAUGCGUAUAGGUCCCUCAACGUUCUAAUUCGCGCAAGACCGCGCAUAAAAUAUUAGACCUUUUCGCGAAUAAUCGAUUUUGCCAACUUGACCUCUCAGCGGACUUUUCACGAUUCCCGAAGAUCCGUCUGUCGGAUUUCCGAACGGAUUGCGCCAGCGCGUUCAGCCCGACUGGGGCAUCGAAUCUAGCAUUUUAUUUCGUCUGAUUUGGUCUCCGAUCAGCGACGAAACCUGCCCUCUCUAUUUUCACCAUAUAACCACUUAUGUUAUUACAUGUAAUUUCCGUUAAACCCCUUUUUCUCGACAACCGUGCAUCAGAACCCAAUUCCGUCAGUGCCAUUGGGUCCAGAAUGGUCGAGCCGUUCGAAACGAGCUAUUGAAGUCCUAUAUUCGGAGUUCAACGUGCACCAGAACCCUUCUCUAAUCGUUGGCUCAUCCGGAAAGCCGGAGUUACUAUUCACUUAAGUCGUCGGUUCGGGUCGCGUAAUUUCUCCAUUUUAGCUCAUUUUCUCCAUAAAUUUGAUGAGUGCUUUAGUAAUUACAUUACACACAAAAACAUCAUCAACCAAGGGUUUAAUUUUAUUUUUCAAAAAUUUCAGUUAUUACAUCAUUCCCCCCUUACAAAAAGUUUCGUCCCCGAAACUUAAUUUAAACAUCCCCCGCAAACAACUGCGGAUAACUCUCCCGCAUAGAAGACUCCAGCUCCCACGUAGCUUCACGCUCCUCGUGAUUUGCCCACUGAACCUUUACAUAUGGAAUGCUCCUGUUCCGUAACUGUUUCACCUCACGUGCCAAAAUCCUCAACGGAGCCUCAUCAUAGCUCAGAUCCUCCCGUAGCUGAAUAGACGUCGGACUGAUGACGUGAGACGGAUCUGGAAUGUACUUCCAAAGCAUGGACACAUGAAAGACAUUGUACACAGGGCCAGACUUGGAGGAAGAGCCAAUCUGUACGCUACCGGACCGAUGCGUUCUAGGAUCCCAAACGGUCCCACGAACCGCGGACUAAGUUUGUUCCGCAAACCAAACCGCUUGAUCCCCCUGGAUGGCGACACCUUGAGCAACACAUGCUCACCGACCUGAAACUCUAGGUCACGCCUUCGCUGAUCCGCGUAGCUCCUCUGUCGACUCUGUGCGGUCAGCAGCCGCUCUCUCGCAAUGCGGAUCUUCGCCUCCGCAUCCUCCACUAAGUCUGGCCCGAUCAACCGGCGUUCUCCGACGUCGUCCCAACAAAUAGGAGAUCGACAUCGACGCCCAUAUAAAGCCUCGUACGGUGCCAUCCCGAUGCUCGCCUGGUAGCUGUUAUUAUAGGCGAACUCCACUAGCGGUAGGUAUCGAAACCAUCCAUCCCCGUAAUCCAGGACACAUGCACGGAGCAUGUCCUCAAGAGCCUGGAUGACUCGCUCUGACUGUCCGUCGCUCUAGGGAUGGAAUGCCGUACUGAAGUUCAGCUUCGUACCUAUAGCCUGCUGCAAGCUCCUCCAGAAGUGGGAAACGAAGCGAGUGUCCCGAUCAGACACAAUCGACACUGGCACACCAUGAAGCCGGACGAUCUCGUCGAUGUAUAACUGUGCCAGUCGAUCACGGGACCACGUCAUAUGCAUCGGCAGGAAGUGAGCCGAUUUCGUCAGCCGAUCAACUAUGACCCAGAUCGCAUCAUGGCCUCGUUGUGAUCGAGGCAAUCUGGUGACGAAAUCCAUAGUGAUCUGCUCCCACUUCCACACGGGGAUCGGAAAUGGUUGCAGCUUUUCUGCUGGUCGCUGAUGCUCGGCUUUCACCUGCUGACAAAUCAAGCACCGAGCCACGUGCUGAGCCACAUCAAGCUUCAUCCCAGGCCACCAGAAAUUCUGCUUCAGGUCGCGGUACAUCUUGGUACCGCCUGGGUUAACUGUGUAAGGGGAUCGGUGCGCCUCGGACAAGAUAUCGUUCCUCAGCUCCGAGUCACUGGGCACACACCAUCUGCCUUUGAAGCGCAAAGAUCCAUCAGUGUGGAUAGUGAAGUCCCCCUGUCCUUGCCCUGCUCGAUCUCUGCCCGCACUUUCUGUAAGUACGGGUCGCUCUGCUGCCCAAGCAAAAUCUGCUCCGUCAAAGUAGGCUAUACCACCAGGGUCAUCAAUUGGGUCGUGGCCCCGGUGGAAACAACCUCAAUCUCCAGACGGCGAAACUCCUCCACAAGUCGAUCUUGGCUCGUGAUCAAGAUGGACAACGAAGCUGAAGGCUGUUUCCGGCUCAAGGCGUCCGCCACCGCAUUCGCCUUUCCCGGAUGGUACCGGAUCGUGAGAUCGUAGUCCUUCAAGAGCUCGAGCCAACGUCUCUGCCUGAGGUUCAACUCCUUCUGCGUGAAAAGGUACUUCAGGCUCUGAUGAUCGGUAAAUACCUCGCAGUGUGCUCUAUAUAAAUAGUGCCUCCACAGCUUUAGGGCAAACACUACCGCUGCAAGCUCCAGAUCGUGGGUCGGAUAGUUCUUUUCAUACGGCUUUAGCUGUCGAGAGGCGUAAGCGAUGACCCGAUCUUGCUGCAUAAGCACACAGCCCAAACCGACCCGUGAGGCAUCACAAUAAACCACGAAGUCCUCACCAGACCGCGGUAGAGUCAAACGGGUGCGCGGGUCAGUCUAUCCUUCAGCUCAUCAAAGCUUUGCUGGCACUGCUUGGUCCACUAAAGCCGUUCUCCUUUUCUGGAAAGCUUGUUCAGCGGUGCGGCGAUCUUGGAGAAACCCUCAACGAAUCGCUGAUAAUAACCCGCCAAACCCAGAAAACUCCGGACUUCAAUCACCGAAGUCGGUUCAGGCAUUCGACCACCGAGGCUAUCUUCUUCGGAUCCACCGUAAUGCCUGAUGGAGUCACAAUAUGCCCCAAGAAAGAUACCUCGCGGAGCCAGAGCUCGCACUUCUUGAGCUUACCAUAUAACUUGUGCUCUCGGAGUAUCUGCAGUGCUCGCCGGAGGUGAUCCUCGUGCUCCUCAUCACUCCGCGAGUAGAUCAGGAUGUCGUCGAUGAAGACCAUGACAAACUGAUCCAAAUAUGCUCGAAAGACCCUAUUCAUCAUAUCCAUGAAAGCUGCCGGGGCAUUGGUGAGCCCGAACGGCAUCACUGUGAACUCGUAGUGACCGUAUCGAGUUCUAAAGGCGGUCUUCGGCACAUCCUCAGCCCGGAUCUUAAGCUGAUGGUACCCAGACUGUAGGUCGAUCUUCGAAUACACCGAUGAUCCCUGAAGCUGAUCGAAGAGAUCGUCAAUCUGGGGUAGUGGAUACUUGUUCUUCACAGUGACCUUAUUGAGCUCCCGAUAGUCGAUGCACAGUCGAAGACUACCGUCCUUCUUUUUGACAAAGAGGACUGGGGCACCCCAAGGAGACACGCUAGGUCGGAUAAAUCCUCUCUCCAAGAGAUCCUCGAGCUGAGCCUUUAGCUCCUUCAGCUCAGCGAAGGCCAUGCGGUAGGGGGCCUUCGAGAUCGGUGCCGUGCCUGGAACUAGCUCGAUAAAGAAGUCGAUCUCCCGGUCCGGAGGCACUCCCAGAAGCUCAUCUGGAAAGACAUCCGGGAAUUCCCGAACAACUGGAAUAUCCUCCAAUGGUGGUGCAGCUCGGCGGGUGACAUCUACCGAAGCCAGGUAGGCCACACAUCCAGCAUUCAUAAGCCUUUUAGCUCUAGCUGAAGAGAUAAUCGCGGCAAAAUAUGAGCUCUUACAUGCUUGGUAGACAAAUACAUCUUCGCCGGGCCCGCUAAAUGUCACCAUCCUCCGCUCGCAGUCGAUAGUAGCACGGUGCCUGGUGAACCAGUCCAUCCCAAGCACCACGUCGAAUUUCUUCAUCGGAAGUACCACCAGAUUUGCCAGGAAAGACCGGUUAUCCAAAAUGACAGGGUACGACAAGAUGCACCUGUCUGCUACUAGAUCACCACUAGGUGUCUCAAUCCGGAGCGGUACAUCGAGUGGUAGCGAGGAAAGGCCAUGCUCACAUGUAAACGAAUGCGAAAUGAAUGAGUGCGAUGCUCCAGUAUCGAAAAUAGCUCUAGCACGAGUAAGGCAGAGGGUGACAAUACCUACAAGAAUGUCGCCACCAGUGUCGCCCUCAUGCUGAGUCAGGGCGAAUACUCGUCCACCAGAUGCCUGCCGCGCCCCCUCAUUAUGUCGUGAAGAAGAGGGACGCCCAGACGAAGCGGCUGCGCUAGGAGCUCCACGGUUCUGUCGAGAUGCAGCUGGGGAGGAGGCAGCACUCUGAUUAGCCCCAUUUCUUAUAGGGCACUGCGCCUGGAGGUGGCCUAGUUGGCCACAAAAGAAACAGUGGUCCUUCUUCUGCGGACAGGCGAUCACUCGAUGUGCUUGUCCACAAAUAACACAGGGUCUAUCGCCUCUUCGCUGGUUUCCUGAGGGUGCACUCCUCGUCGACUGCUGAGUGCGCGGAUACUUGGGUAGCUUUUUGCUGAAAGAAGGGCCACCACCAGACUUAGAAUGGGAACGCUUUCUAUCCCCCGAUCGCUCAGAUGCAUCGCGAUCAGCUCGAACCUCCUCCGACUCGCUCUGCACGAUCAGAGCCCGAUCCAGACACUCGUCGAAGUUUAUCGCGCCAUUGGAUGCGACCAGCAGCCGAAUAUUGGGUCUCAGCCCCCUCGUAAAAAGCCUAGCCUUGUGGUACUCAUCCCGCACCGCAAAGGGAAUCAGUCCGACGAUGCGGCUGAAAUCUCGCUCAUACUCCGCCACAGUGCGGUUAUCCUGCUUGAGGCGCUCCAGCUCACGCUCCAAGCUCUGUUUUGUGCUGUCCUUGAAGUACUGCUUAUAUAGGAGUCUCCGAAACUCCUCCCAGGGUGGAUAGAUGCUUGAGAGCUUGUUCACGAAGUGGCGGAUCCACCAUGCAUACGCAUCUGUCUCAAGGCAAUGCGUGGCCAGAGGAACGCGAUCCUACUCUUCGAUGUGGAGAUCGCAAAAUAGUUUCUCCAUGUGGGUGACCCAGUGCUCAAUCACCCAUGCGUCGUCAUUCUUCCCAGCGAACUUAGGCGGAUCAAAUUUCCUGAACUGGGCCAACUUCGACCGAAUGCGAUUGCCCUCCGCUACAGAGGUAUCAGCACCCCCAGCGGAAACCGUCGUGGUAGUCGUCGUCGUCGUCGUGCCAGUCGGAGCUGUAGCCGGUGGAGGUAUCACCGGAGUGUCCGUAGUGACUGGAGCCGGCUGUGUCGGAGGUGGAGCCGAGGGAGUAGUAGCUGCAGUCUGCUGCUGUAUAAACUGCUGGAACAUCCCCGAGAGGGUCGUCAGCUGACCCCUCAUCGCUGCUACCUCGGCCUCAAGCUGCUGGGUACGCGCAUCACCCAACUGCUCGGGGCCGACCUGCUCUCCUCCACCCCUACCCCUCGGGACACGCCCUCCAGGACUGUCCGAUGCCCCCUCAGUGGCGCGUCCACCACCACGACCCCGACGAGGAGGUCUACCACGAGCAUGAGCCAUCUGCAAAAGAAAACAACGUCAGUCGAAUAAUCGACUCGACUACAACUCACCAGGACUCGAUCCCAAACCCCGCACUUACGUGCCUAUACAUCGUAGGUCUUCCUAAAGGUCAACCUAACCAAUGGUUCAGUUUAUUUUUAUUUUUUAAAAACACUUGUGAAUGGUGUUGUGGUUGUAACUUGUCUCUGAUAGCACUUUAAUGUGUCACGCCCCGGGGUCCCUUUUUAGUUUAAAGCAUAGCGGAAAAGCGUCUGAAAUUUUUUUUUUUGAAAACCUGACCCAGAGUAUGCCAGAUCCGCCACAAAUACAGGAGAUCCACUCUUCACACGGACAGAGUCUCCCCUGUAUUUGCACGGCAUCGCACAAGUACAGAGUUCAAACAUGAUACAACCAUAACCAGAUGAACAUACAAAUAACCAACAGUUAUACAUUCCUACACCAUUCACCACAGUUUCACAUUUAUACAUUCAAUAUUUAAACAUAAAUCCAUAUCUAUCAGUUAAAAUGUUUCCAACCACAAAAAUAGGUUUUGAAAUACUAAGAUACAGAAUCCACAGAAAACCUUUUGAAAACUGUUCCCUACACAGGAACUUUUAUCUUUUAAAAACGCUACCACGAGGGGUAGAAAUCCAUUCAACAUUUGAAAUCCACAAAUCCUUUCUUUUUUUUUACA
rnacentral:lncRNA from 1 species